UACAGAGGGUGCGAGCGUUGUUCGGAAUUAUUGGGCGUAAAGGGCGCGUAGGCGGUGCGGUAAGUCACCUGUGAAAUCUCCCGGCUCAACUGGGAGCGUGCAGGCGAAACUGCCGUGCUGGAGGGUGGGAGAGGUGCGUGGAAUUCCCGGUGUAGCGGUGAAAUGCGUAGAUAUCAGGAGGAACACCUGCGGUGUAGACAGCUUUCUGGACCAUCACUGACGCUGAGACACGAAAGCGUGGGUAGCAAACAGG
rnacentral:rRNA from 1 species